rfam:Ovis aries breed Texel chromosome 14, whole genome shotgun sequence.
UGGCUCAGAGGUUAAAGUGUCUGCCUGGAAUGCAGGAGACCUGGGUUCGAUCCCUG